GAAUCUUGCGCAAUGGGCGAAAGCCUGACGCAGCCAUGCCGCGUGAGUGAAGAAGGUCUUAGGAUUGUACAGCUCUUUCGCUCGUGACGAUGAUGACGGUAACGAGAGAAGAAGCCCCGGCUAACUUCGUCCCAGCAGCCGCGGUAAUACGAAGGGGGCUAGCGUUGUUCGGAAUUACUGGGCGUAAAGCGCGCGUAGGCGGUUUUGCAAGCCAGAGGUGAAAUGCCUGAGCUCAACUUAGGAAUUGCCUUUGGGACUGCGAGGCUUUGAGGACUGGAGAGGUGAGUGGAAUUCCCAGUGUAGAGGUGAAAUUCGUAGAUAUUGGGAAGAACACCGGUGGCGAAGGCGGCUCACUGGCCAGUUUCUGACGCUGCAGCGCGAAAGCGUGGGGAUCAAACAGGA
rnacentral:rRNA from 1 species